rnacentral:rRNA from 1 species
AGAAUGAACGUUGGCGGCGUGGAUUAGGCAUGCAAGUCGGACGGGCCGCAAGGCCAGUGGCGUAAGGGUGAGUAAGGCGACGGCAAUCAUCCCCACGGUUGGGUAUAGCCGCGAGAAAUCGCGGGUAAUCCCCAGCGACGCAAGGUGUACGGCAAUCGACGCCUUGCCAAAGGCUCGCCGCCGUGGGACAGCCGUCGUGGUAUUAGGUAGUUGGCGGGUAACGGCCACAAGCCCGCGAUCGCCUACCGGGUGUGCGAGCAUGGCCCGGCACACUGGGACUGAGACACUGCCCAGACCUCCGUACGGGAGGCUGCAGGUCGAGAAUCUUACGGCAAGUGGGACGCAAGCCUGACCGAGCGACGCCGCGGUGGAGGACGAAGGUCCUUACGGGUUGUAAACCGUCCGUAGGUUCCGGAAGGGGGUAACGGAA